rnacentral:rRNA from 1 species
UGUAAUUGCGGGGGGGUGGCGGGGGUAGUGCGUGGGGUUGGAGCGUGAAGUGGAAGUAGGGGGGGUAAGGGGUGGGGGGGGGGGUGGGUCGUUCAGCCUUGGAAGCCCCGGGCUCAACCUGGGAUCGGCGGGUGAGACGGCCCGGCUCGAGUGGGCUAGAGGAUCGUGGAAUUGCGGGUGUAGCGGUGAAAUGCGUAGAGAUCCGGAGGAACACCGAUGGCGAAGGCAGCGAUCUGGGGCCACACUGACGCUGAGGCACGAAAGCGUGGGGAGCAAACAGGAUUAGAUACCCCGGUAGUC